rnacentral:rRNA from 1 species
UACGUAGGGUGCGAGCGUUAAUCGGAAUUACUGGGCGUAAAGCGUGCGCAGGCGGCGCGUUAAGACAGGUGUGAAAGCCCCGAGCUUAACUUGGGAAUUGCGCUUGUGACUGGCGUGCUGGAGUGUGGCAGAGGGAGGUGGAAUUCCACGUGUAGCAGUGAAAUGCGUAGAGAUGUGGAGGAACACCGGUGGCGAAGGCGGCAUCCUGGACCGGUAUUGACGCUGAGGCGCGAAAGCUAGGGGAGCAAACGGG